CGCCCAUACCGAGCCCGGUGAUGCUCACCGUCCGAGCCUGCCCAUCGUCCCUUCGGGGACACCGCAUCGGGGAGCACGGGACCCGAACCGGUAGUAGGUAAGCGUAUUAACA
rnacentral:rRNA from 1 species